rnacentral:lncRNA from 1 species
CUAUUAAUAAAAUUGCUUGUUUUACAUUUAUGAUUGGUUUUAAGAUUUUUAUAGACUAUUCAGUGAAUUUGAUGCUAUGACAAUGUUUCAUGUCUUUCCUUUAUAGAUUUCUGAUUCCAAUUGACAGCAAUAACUCCUAGAAAUUAGUAAAACAUGUCCAUUUCUGAAGGCUGUUAAAUGCGAAUCUUUUUUUUUCCAAUUUUUGCUGUUUUGUUUUUGUCUGUCUCAUUGUGUUGGCUAGAAAGUUAAAGUGUG